GAUGAAGAACGCAGCGAAAUGCGAUAAGUAAUGUGAAUUGCAGAAUUCAGUGAAUCAGCGAAUCUUUGAACGCACAUUGCGCCCCCUGGUAUUCCGGGGGGCAUGCCUGUUCGAGCGUCAUUUCACCACUCAAGCCUCGCUUGGUAUUGGGCAUCGCGGUCCGCCGCGCGCCUCAAAUCGACCGGCUGGGUCUUCUGUCCCCUAAGCGUUGUGGAAACUAUUCGCUAAAGGGUGUUCGGGAGGCUACGCCGUAAAACAACCCCAUUUCUAAGGUUGACCUCGGAUCAGGUAGGGAUACCCGCUGAACUUAAGCAUAUCAAUAAGCGGAGGA
rnacentral:misc_RNA from 1 species